GCCUGGGUGGCUCAGUCGGUUGAGCGUCCGACUUCAGCUCAGGUCAUGAUCUCACAGUUCGUGAGUUCGAGCCCCGCGUCGGGCU
rnacentral:tRNA from 1 species